UCCGGCUUUUCCGUACAUGUCAAGCCCAGGUAAGGUUCUUCGCGUUGCCUCGAAUUAAGCAACAUGCUCCGCCGCUUGUGCGGGCCCCCGUCAAUUCCUUUGAGUUUUAGCCUUGCGGCCGUACUCCCCAGGCGGGGUACUUAAUGCGUUAGCUGCGGCACGGAACCCGUUGAUAAGGUCCCACACCUAGUACCCAACGUUUACGGCGUGGACUAC
rnacentral:misc_RNA from 1 species